UACGUAGGGUGCGAGCGUUAUUCGGAAUUACUGGGCGUAAAGCGUGCGUAGGUGGUUCGUUGUGUCUGUGGUGAAAGCCCCGGGCUUAACCUGGGAAUGGCCAUGGAAACUGGCGAGCUGGAGUCUGGCAGAGGGGGGUGGAAUUCCGCGUGUAGCAGUGAAAUGCGUAGAGAUGCGGAGGAACACCGAUGGCGAAGGCAGCCCCCUGGGCUAAGACUGACGCUGAGGCACGAAAGCGUGGGGAGCAAACAGG
rnacentral:rRNA from 1 species